rnacentral:rRNA from 1 species
AGUGAACGCUGGCGGUAGGCCUAACACAUGCAAGUCGAACGGCAGCACAGUAAGAGCUUGCUCUUACGGGUGGCGAGUGGCGGACGGGUGAGGAAUACAUCGGAAUCUACUUUUUCGUGGGGGAUAACGUAGGGAAACUUACGCUAAUACCGCAUACGACCUACGGGUGAAAGCAGGGGAUCUUCGGACCUUGCGCGAUUGAAUGAGCCGAUGUCGGAUUAGCUAGUUGGCGGGGUAAAGGCCCACCAAGGCGACGAUCCGUAGCUGGUCUGAGAGGAGGAUCAGCCACCCUGGAGCUGGGACACGGUCCAGACUCCUACGGGAGGCAGCAGUGGGGAAUAUUGGACAAUGGGCGCAAGCCUGAUCCAGCCAUACCGCGUGGGUGAAGAAGGCCUUCGGGUUGUAAAGCCCUUUUGUUGGGAAAGAAAAGCAGCAGGUUAAUACCCCGCUGUUCUGACGGUACCCAAAGAAUAAGCACCGGCUAACUUCGUG